rnacentral:tmRNA from 1 species
GGGGUAGUAAAGGUUUCGACAGGGGUUUUGCAGCUGGAGAAGCUAUCCGCACGCAAUGCGUUAAAUGGCAAAAAUAAAUAUAAACGCUGAAGAUAAUUUAGCAUACGCUGCCUAAUUGGCAGCUGUCCGACUUAGGGCACCUACACUUUAAGAACCGGGCAUCGACUAUGUAGGAAACGACAUGGCUUAAGCUUUGCGGUCAUGGGCGUAUCAUGAAGCUACCAAAGUCAAAAGGGUGUUUGUUCCCGUUUGAUGAAGGGAAUGUCAAAAAACAGACUAUGAUAGUAGAAGGACAGGGAAUAGGCUUUUGGACACGGGUUCGACUCCCGUCUACUCCACUU